CCUACGGGUGGCAGCAGUGGGGAAUAUUGCACAAUGCGGGAAACCCUGAUGCAGCAACGCCGCGUGAGUGAUGACGGCCUUCGGGUUGUAAAGCUCUGUCUUCAGGGACGAUAAUUACGGUACCUGCGGAGUUAGCCACGGCUAACUCCGUGCCAGCAGCCGCGGUCAUACUUAGGUGGCGCGCGUUGUCCGGAUUUACUGGGCGUAAAGGGAGCGUAGGCGGGCUUUUAAGUGACAUGUGAAAUACUCGGGUUCAACUUGCGGGCUGCAUUUCAAACUAGAAGCCUAGAGUGAGGGAGAGGAGAAUGGAAUUCCUAGUGAAGCGGUGAAAUGCGUAGAGAUUGGGAAGAACACCAGAGGCGAAGGCGAUUCUCUGGAGUGAAACUGACGCUGAGUCUCGAAAGCGUGGGGAGCAAACAGGAUUAGAUACCCGGGUAGUC
rnacentral:rRNA from 1 species